rnacentral:rRNA from 1 species
CACGUAGGCGGCUUGGCAUGUCGGGUGUGAAAUCCCCGGGCUCAACCUGGGAACUGCAUCCGAAACUGCCUUGCUAGAGUAUGGGAGAGGGAAGUGGAAUUUCCGGUGUAGCGGUGAAAUGCGUAGAUAUCGGAAGGAACAUCAGUGGCGAAGGCGACUUCCUGGACCAAUACUGACGCUCAGGUGCGAAAGCGUGGGGAGCAAACA